GAUCUGGCUCAGGCUGGAACACCUCCUUAGAGUUUGAUCCUCGCUUGGGGAACNGGUGAGUAACACGUGGGUGAUCUGCCCUGCACUCUGGGAUAAGCCUGGGAAACUGGGUCUAAUACCGGAUAUGACCAACUGUCGCAUGGUGGUUGGUGGAAAGCUUUUGCGGUGUGGGAUGGGCCCGCGGCCUAUCAGCUUGUUGGUGGGGUAAUGGCCUACCAAGGCGACUACGGGUAGCCGACCUGAGAGGGUGAUCGGCCACACUGGGACUGAGACACGGCCCAGACUCCUACGGGAGGCAGCAGUGGGGAAUAUUGCACAAUGGGCGCAAGCCUGAUGCAGCGACGCCGCGUGAGGGAUGACGGCCUUCGGGUUGUAAACCUCUUUCACCAGGGACGAAGCGUGAGUGACGGUACCUGGAGAAGAAGCACCGGCCAACUACAUGCCAGCAGCCGCGGUAAUACGUAGGGUGCGAGCGUUGUCCGGAAUUACUGGGCGUAAAGAGCUCGUAUGCGGCUUGUCGCGUCNNCUGUGAAAUUCUUUAACUCAAUUGCAGGCCUGCCGGCCAUACGGGCACACCUGACUACUACAGGGGAGACUGGAAUUCCUGGUGUAGCNGGNAAAUGCACAUAUUUGACGAGGAUCA
rnacentral:rRNA from 1 species